UUUCAUUAUCGUCAUUUAAAAUGCUCUUCGUAUUCGUGACGAGAUAAGAAGUUUACUAACGAUUGACACACUGUUGGUCAUCAAGGCUAAACAUUCUGACCGGAUUUCACAAACGUGACGAGACAGAAUGCUAAACAUUUUAGUUUUUCUCUGCAUUCUUGAAGGAGCCGUGUCACUCGGCCCUCGGUGUCUAAGCUGUAGCGGUGUGCCCAUCCUAACAGACUGUAACAAUAUAGUGGAGUGUGGGAAUG